CACGUAGUUAGCCGGGGCUUCUUAGUCAGGUACCGUCAUUUUCUUCCCUGCUGAUAGAAGUUUACAUACCGAAAUACUUCAUCCUUCACGCGGCGUCGCUGCAUCAGGGUUUCCCCCAUUGUGCAAUAUUCCCCACUGCUGCCUCCCGUAGGAGUUUGGGCCGUGUCUCAGUCCCAAUGUGGCCGGUCACCCUCCCAGGUCGGCUACUGAUCGUCGCCUUGGUGAGCCUUUACCUCACCAACCAGCUAAUCAGACGCGGGUCCAUCCCAUACCACCGGAGUUUUUACCCCUGCACCAUGCGGCGCUGUGGUCUUAUGCGGUAUUAGCAGACAUUUCUAUCUGUUAUCCCCCUGUAUGGGGCAGGUUACCCACGCGUUACUCACCCGUCCGCCACUCAGUCACAGUACUAAUCCAAACCCGAAGGAAUACAAAAGUUAAAGUGUACUUCGUUCGACCUUAGCCAUGGUAGUUAAGCACGGCCGCCAAGCCGUUCAUCCUGACGCCAGGAUCAAAACUCU
rnacentral:rRNA from 1 species